rnacentral:rRNA from 1 species
GAUGAACGCUGGCGGCGUGCCUAAUACAUGCAAGUCGAGCGAACGGACUAGAAGCUUGUUCCUCUGAUGUUAGCGGCGGACGGGUGAGUAACGCGUGGAUAACCUACCUAUAAGACGGGGAUAACUUCGGGAAACCGUAGCUAAUACCGCAUAAUAUUUUGAACCGCAUGGUUCAAGAGUGAAAGACGGUCUUGCUGUCACUUAUAGAUGUAUCCGCGCUGCAUUAGUUAGUGGGUAAGGCAACGGCUUACCAAGGCAACGACGCAUAGCCGACCUGAGAGGGUGAUCGCCCACACUGAAACUGAGACACGGUACAGACUCACACGGGAGGCAGGAGUAGGAAAUCUUCCGAAAGGGGAGAAAGCGUGACGGCGAAACGGCGCGUGAGUAAUAAGUGUCUUCGGAUCGUAAAACUCUGUUAUUAGGGGAGAACAUAUGUGUAAGUAACUGUGCACAUCUUGACGGUACCUAAUCAGAAAGCCCCGGCUAACUCCGU